GACGAACGCUGGCGGCGUGCUUAACACAUGCAAGUCGAACGAAGCUUGAUUACGGAUUCUUCGGAUGAAGUAUGAUAUGACUGAGUGGCGGACGGGUGAGUAACGCGUGAGUAACCUGCCCUUCAGAGGGGGAUAGCGUUUGGAAACGAACGGUAAUACCGCAUAAUGUAUUUUGACCGCAUGAUCGAAAUACCAAAGAUUUAUCGCUGAAGGAUGGACUCGCGUCUGAUUAGGUAGUUGGUGGGGUAACGGCCUACCAAGCCGACGAUCAGUAGCCGGACUGAGAGGUUGCUCGGCCACAUUGGGACUGAGACACGGCCCAGACUCCUACGGGAGGCAGCAGUGGGGAAUAUUGCACAAUGGGCGCAAGCCUGAUGCAGCAACGCCGCGUGAAGGAAGACGGUUUUCGGAUUGUAAACUUCUGUUCUUAGUGAAGAAUAAUGACGGUAGCUAAGGAGCAAGCCACGGCUAACUACGUG
rnacentral:rRNA from 1 species